rnacentral:rRNA from 1 species
UGUAAGCGUAUACCAAAGUUGUUGCAGUUAAAACGCUCGUAGUCGGAAUUUGGCAGUUCCGGAUGUGUGCACGUCGUGUGCGCACUUCGCGGGGAUUGCUUUUGUGGUCUUGCGUAGGAUGAGGCACUUUUAUUAGUGAACGUCCUCACGCAACCACUUUUUACUGUGAGAAAAUCAGAGUGCUCAAAGCAGGCAUUUGCCGUGAAUGUAUUAGCAUGGAAUAAUAGAAUAGGACUUGGUUCUAUUUUGUUGGUUUGUUGGGACUGAGUAAUGAUUAAGAGGGACAGUUGGGGGCAUUUGUAUUUCGGUGCUAGAGGUGAAAUUCUUAGAUUACCGAAAGACAAACUGCUGCGAAAGCGUCUGCCGAGGAUGUUUUCAUUGAC